rnacentral:rRNA from 1 species
UGACUCUGUUCAACGGCCGCGGUAUCCUAACCGUGCGAAGGUAGCGUAAUCACUUGUUCUUUAAAUGAGGACUAGUAUGAAUGGCACCACGAAGGUUAUACUGUCUCCUUUUUCUAAUCAGUGAAACUAAUCUUCCCGUGAAGAAGCGGGAAUAAGAAUAUAAGACGAGAAGACCCUAUGGAGCUUUAAACAAAUAUACACCUGCCUUCCCAUCAAAAAAUUUCAGCAGACAAAUAAUUACCCAGGCAUUUUGAUAUAGCGUUUUAGGUUGGGGUGACCACGGAGCAAAAAACAACCUCCGCAACGAACGGGAAAUCUUUCCCUAAACCAAGGAUUACGACCCCAAGUAUCGAUAAAUCGACACCAAUUGACCCAAUAAAUUUGAUCAAUGAACCAAGUUACCCUAGGGAUAACAGCGCAAUCCACUUCAAGAGCCCCUAUCGACAAGUGGGUUUACGACCUCGAUGUUGGAUCAGGGUAUCCCAGUGGUGCAGCCGCUACUAACGG